CUAGUUUUUUUUUUUCUAUUAGAGACAGGGUUUCACCGUAUUAGCCAGGAUGGUCUCGAUCUCCUGACCUCGUGAUCCACCCGUCUCGGCCUCCCAAAGUGCUGGGAUUACAGGCUUGAGCCACCGUGCCCGGCUAUUGUUUGUUUGUAUGAAAGCUAUUGAUUUUUGUAUGUUAGCUUUAUAUGCUGUUACUUUACUGAAUUUUUAAAUUUUAUUUUUGAUUUGAGUUUUUCCAGCAUUGUUAGCAAAUAGAGAUAAUUUUACUUCCUCUUUACCAAUCUUAUGCUUUGAAUUGAUUUAUCAUGUUGAAUUGCAAUGGCUAAUACCGCUAGACAAUGUUGAAUAGUAGCAGAGAUGGUGAGCAUCUUUGCCUUCUUCCUGAGCUAAGUGAAAAAUGCUUUUAGUAUUUCCCUAUUAAGUAAGAUGCUGGCUAAAUCUGUGAUGUUGGGAUAUAAUAAGAAAUUCUGUCCCAUUUUCCGGCAUAGAGCUUCUAAUCCUUCGGAAUUUCCUGAGCCAUAGGAGCAUCUGUUUUCCCCUAAAAUCUAUUUAUUAGGAAGAAUGAAUUUUCAUAAUUCUAGUAGCAAAUCAUAGUACAGAAGUAUCAGACAGAAUUCUCAUAGCCUUGAUAUAUUGUCUCAAUGUUAUAAGAAGUUGACCUCCAAAUCAACAAUCAUAGUAAAAUGAAAAAUAUCAUUUGUUGAUAUCUUUCAGAGGCCAAGACAUGAUUUUCUGACUUUUAAAUCUUUAUUUUCCACUUAGUGGCAGAAAGGAAUCUCUAUUAUGCAAAACCAAUCUGAAAGUUAAUAGUUAUAUAGUGGCUACAGAAAAAUUUUCUUUUUUUCUUUUUAGAUGGAUUCUCGCUCUGUCACCCAGGUUGGAGUGCAGUGGCAUGAUCUUGGCUCACUGCAACCUCCGCCUUCCGGGUUCAAGCAAUUCUCCCGCCUCUGCCUCCCGAAUAACUGGGAUUACAGGCAUGAGCCACCACACCCAGCCCAGGCCCGUCUUUCCUCUAGCCUGCCCCAAUCAGAAGGAUCAGGAGGGGCAAAGCUGGCCCAUGGGGAACCUGUGGCUGGGAGCCCAUGAGGCAGGGGCAGCAGAAGGCGGCAGAGAGGGUUGGACCUCUGUGGCCCUGGCUGUGUGCUCCGAUGGCAUGGUGAUGGAAACCUGCUACCAGAUGACAAAACACUAUUACCCAACAGCUGGGUGACCUUAGGAAAAUCACUCAACCGCUCCUCCUGCCUACAGAUUUCCUCACCUGCAGGGCCCUGCAGAGCUGUUGCAAGGUUGAAAUGAGGCAACGUACAUGUGCCUGGCAGCAAAGCUGACCCCACACAGCUCAAUCCUCAGUGUUUGCAUGUUUGGGAAAAAAAAAAAACAACUAGAGGAACUAGUUCUUCUUACCUGGGAAGAUUCCUAAGCACAAAUUAGAUUUCUUAGGGGCUGAGAUUAGAAAAAGCUUGGUCUCAGCUCCUAGACCUUAUUAGCAGGCCCUUCCUAGAGCUGGCUCUAAUCGGCAUAGCUUGGGAAGCUCCCUUCCUGGGGAAGAAACCACCUGGCCACUGCAGCCUUUCUGUUUCUGGCUUAGGCCCACUGGCCUGCCUGGCGUGAGCUCCCUGGGGCAGGGAGCCUACAAACCUUGGGAGUGGAGAAGCGCUGGCUCGGCUGGGUGUGGUGGCUCACACCAGUAAUCCCAACACCUGGGUGAGGCUGAGGCAGGAGAGUCACUUAAGCCCAGGAGUUCGAGACCAGCCUAGGAAACAGGGAGAUCCUGUCUGCAAACAAUACAGUGGUGACUCACACCUGUAGUCCCAGCUACUCAGGAGGCCGGCUAGGAUGGGAGGAUCACCUGAGCCUGGGAGGCAGAGGCUGCGAUGAUCCCUAAUCACACCACUGCACUCCAGAGCGCCAGAGUGAGAUCCUGUCUUUAACCUCCCCCAAAAACAAAGAAAGUACUGUCUGAUAGGUCAGGAGGUCCACACUAGCUCCAGCCUCGUUCCUAAAUCACUGGGCGGCCUUGGGCAAGGCCAGACCCUCUCUGGGAAGCAGAAAGGAGAUUUCCCCCUUCCUCCUGGGCAGGGAUUGUGGAGAGCACUAGUGUGUCUGGGUGAGAAGGUACUCUGCAGCUCUGCAGUGCUGGGUUCUGUC
ensembl:lncRNA